AUUAUAGGUGGAUUGUCUGAGCUGGUUCAUCAGGUAAUAUCCCCGAAAAGAUCUCAGAGGAAAGAAGCAAUCGUAGGGACACCACAAAGAGAAAAGCGAGAAACUUCAACAGAAAGUGGAUUGAAUCAAGCUACGCCUAAACGGGGAGUGAAACGACGCCAUCGAUCAUCCGAUAAAUCUUCACCGACAGGAAGACAAAUUGUACAAUUUAUGAAGGGCUCCUGUGAAUUUGUUGGCACUGGAGCUCGUCGCGAUGCUGUAAGCCUUGAGGAAUGUCGGAGAUGGACUCUAAAAGAUCUCUAUAACAAGGCGAAACUCUUGGGACUUCUUCUGGCCUCUUCAAUUCCAAUUGUAUUUAUCCAAGUUGUAAAGCAACUGCUGGCAAUUUUUUCAUAACCACAAACUGCGAUCCAUUGUGACGGACUGUGAUCAAAUUCUCACCUUUAAUCUACCCAUCAACUUUUCAGUCAUCUCUUCUUCAAGCCUAUCACAAAACCUUCCACCACACUGACCAGGACAAGUUCCAUGCAAACUUCGAACUCUAUCGUCAGGUAUCAAUAGAGAGGACACCUCCCUAGGACAUCUGAAGAGGACUUGGGAUCUUGGAAUUGCCCGAUACAGCUACUAACUGAGAAUAAAUCCAUUGGGUUUAACCAUAUGACCCAAUAAGUAGUUAAAAAAUUACGAAAAAUAUCCUGAGAAAAAAACGUACAUUACGAUGAAGUACUCCGGCAUCAAUGACGAUGACAUCACUUACAUUACUCUGAUUCCAACUAGAGGAGAGUAGUCGUAGGAAAGCAAGAACAGGUGCAGAAGAUGGAAUGAUACAAUAAAAAGUGCAAUGACACUGACUAUGGGCACAAUGGUCACUCUAUUACUCUCAUAAUUGAAAUCAAUAUGUUUUUCAAGUGCAGGCACUACAGGUGCUCAUGAAUAAAUGUCAAAGAGCUUGAUGAUAAUGUCAUGAAUGACAAAACUGCUAUUGAGCACAUCGUUUGAGAUGCGAAUAGCAUCGACGUGGAGUCCAACAAACAGAACAAACCCUCGAAAAAUAAAGUAAAAGAUUUUCUUGUGGUUGAAGCCUUCAUGGAGGAAUAGCAUAAUUCGUCUUGGACUAAGCAAAGUUGAUCAGUGGGGCAGGUAAUGGUGACUGGAAGGGAGAGGAAAAGCAGUAGGUGGUGUAUCAGCAACUUUGGUGGUAUGAGGAAAAAUUCAAUGCCCACGGAGAAAUUGGUAAAGGGCAAUUUAAAAUCGUCAAGCUAGUGUUCAAAAACCCUUCCAAUGCUGAAUUUUAGUUUUGAAACUAAUGGUGGAAGUCUUCAAGUUGGGAUGAGUAUGCUACAAGUUUUUCCAGAGACCAUAUGUACAAACAUCCCUCAUUAAAUGCCCAUGGAGUUGGGUUUCAAGUUCAUCGACCUAAGUUGGUGGUCUAGAAUCCUGGAGUUUAUGUCCAAUAUGGAGAAAUAAUCUAGCCAAUAAAUCAUCAAACUGGACCACACUAUGAUUUAUAUCGUAGAUCGAAAAUCAGAGGAAAUGAAGGGGCAGGGACUAGGUAAUUAACGUACCUGGUGCUGCCAAAAGAUGAACAGACUACGUUAACAGUCGUAUCCAGCCUUUACGUAAAAAUUGCAAUGCGACAGCCAAAUGUCAGUGCUUAUAGGGCAGAAGAUCAACGAUCUUUGGGAAAUUUGAUUAAUUCAAUAGCAUCCAAAAAAUAUCGAGGCUCAGCUAUGGAGUGAUUGUCCAGUCCACCUCAAGGAAUGACAUGAACAGGGAAACUGAAAAAUAAUCUGCUGGAUUUCGCACAUGUACCUUCACCCUCUAUGGUUCAUUCGAGCAUUGAGUUUAGCGAAUGUUUCACUAGAAUCUUCACCAAGAGUCAAUCAACGUAGGAGAUCUGGUUCUAAUAAGGAUAAUUUUGGAAAUGUCGAGAGUAGUAAUAGAAUCCAUGCCCAUCGGGUCAUCAUUUUUUUGAUGACUCUCAAUGGAGCUGAAACGGACCUGUCAAGGUCUUCAAGAGAUAAUCAAAGAUAUCAAGGAUCCACAUGUUGGAUAUUUUGACACCUGAGAAUACAUUGACGAAUUUGGCCUGUCGGAUACCUGAGGCAAUGACUAUCGAGUCCACCAUAGCUAUACCACGUGUUGUUAAACAACUGUGAAAAUCUGUAUUCGUUACAUUGUAAUAUGAAGGCAUUACUUAAUGGGGGCGACACAGUGAGAAAUUAACACUUCGGUCUUUUCUUCAAAUGUUAUUACGGUAUUUAUUGCGUGGUCUCAGAGAUUAAAAAAAGUCAAGAUAUAUAUGAUUUUUUUAAAAUACACUGCUUGAUCUAUUAAUAAACCAUGUGCAAAAUCUCAGAUAGCCUAGGAGCUUGGUAACGACGGGAAUAAUUUAGAAAGUUGCAAAUUAUGCAUGAGGUUAAAUGGGGCAUCGAUAAGUUCAUCGUUGUUCCCAUAUUGCCGACUGGUCGAUAAUGUAGGAAAAAUGCGGAGUUUAUCGAUUCCCCAUUUGAUUGCAUGCAUAAGUAGCAACUUUAGAAAUUAUUUGUGUCGUUAUCAAGCUCCUAGACCAUCUGAAAUUUUGCACGAAGUCUCUUGAUAGAUCAAAGAAUGUAUUUAAAACAAAUCAUCAAUAUCUUGACUUUUUUUAUCCCCUCCAACCACGCCAUAAAUUCCUUAACUGAUUCAAGGCCAGGGGUUAUAAAAUAAGGGGGCUAGAGGGGAAAUUAAUCAUUUGUUUAUGUAAUAGCUAUCAGAUUGUCAACUGCCAUGAUAAACUAUCCAUUUAAAAUUUUAGAGACUCUUGCGUGAUGUAAAUUUAAUCGGAAAUUGGGAAAUAUUUUUGAUUAUGAAGGUGGAAAAACAGUCGACAUAAUAUUCGGGAAAUAAUCUACCUUGGUCUCAAUUUUUAACAUUAUUAUUAUCUUUUCCAUUAAAAAGAAAAUUUAUAUCGGUGAUGAUGAACCUCUAUGAAAUUAAUUAAUAAAUUUAAUCGCGAAGCGGUAAAACGAUGUAAGAUGAUUCAGCGCUCAGCUGAGUUUCAGAGGGAUGUCUCCGAAUCUAAGGAAGAGAGCGAAUUUUUUAUAAUUACCUUUUUUGCAGCUCUCAAUUCGUUC